rnacentral:lncRNA from 1 species
CUUAUUUUCAUGAGUUAAAUAUGAGCUUAUAUAAAAAGCCACACUAAUAUUAACCUUUCUGUGUUUUCCCAUAUUUAUAAUUAGUUCAUCCUUAGGACAGUCUUAAUUUUCCUUUGUUCUAGAAAGACCCAGAAUCACUUAAGUUUUUGAAAUCAUGAUGGAUGGCAUAAAUAAUGCUAAUUCACAAAAAUGAGUGACAUACUAUUAUUUUCAAGUUUUUACCUAAUUUAAAACAUUCUCUUCUACUGCUUCUGUGAUUUUAAAAUCUCUCUUCGACAUUUAGUUAUUUGUAGAAUAAACUGCAUGGAUUUUAGGUAAAAACCACUUUUGAUAUUUUUCAUAUAAACGUAUCUUCACUUAAUUAGGGAAGCCAGAAUUUAAUUAAUUCUACUAGCUGAACUUUCACACAAACUUUUGCUCUUUAUAAUUCUCAUACAGUAAUACCAUUAUUAAAGACAUAAUGAAGAUUUUCUUUAACUAUGCAUGCUUUAUUUCCAUGUAUUAUUUUUCUCUUUAAAAUAAGUCUGCUUAAAAUGUGGUCUAUAGAAACUUUAUGACAAAAUCAAUGACCACUUGCUUGCUAACAAAUUUGUAAGUGAACAAGCUAUUAUUCUUUCAAUGUGACUGAUGUUAAAGUGUUUUGAAUAUCUAUUGGUAUAUUAUCUAGAACUAUUAUUGCCAUAUCCUUAGAGUAUCUUUAAGAUAAUGCUGCCUAUUAUGGACAGUAAAUUAUUGAGGCUUUUUAAAAUUUUCUGCAAUAUAUAGAAAGUAAGGUUUAAUGUAUAUAAAGAUUUUUCAAUGGAGUUUUGAAUCUAUUUAAUGUGUUCAUUCUUCCCAUGCCAUAUAUGUCUUCAAAGAAGACUGUAUUAAUAUACUAUGCAAAAAUCUAAUUUUCUUCUUAUAAAAAUUAGAGCUCUGGUAUAAUUUUAGGUUUUUCAGGCCUCCAAGAUUAAAAAAAAUUAAAAUGUGAAAUGGAACUAUUUUGGUGGAGGGUGUGGGGCAAGAUACUUGAACAGGGCCAACAAAUGUGAAGAUGAGUAACACUUGAUUUUAAUAAUUCCUCUGUGUGCUAGAUUUAUGGUACAUUAUUAAUCAUUUUGUUAAUCAAAGCCCAUCUUAUAUUGUAACAUUUAAAAUUUGAAUAUAUGUAGGAUAUAAAUGUCUUUGGACAUUUCUCAUAAACCAUACUUAAUUUUUAUUUUGUGUGUAAUGUAAAUUUCAACAGUUACUUUUUAAAUUU